rnacentral:rRNA from 1 species
CUACUCUUGACAUCCUGCGAACUUGGUAGAGAUACCUUGGUGCCUUCGGGAACGCAGAGACAGGUGCUGCAUGGCUGUCGUCAGCUCGUGUUGUGAAAUGUUGGGUUAAGUCCCGUAACGAGCGCAACCCUUGUCCUUAGUUGCCAUCAUUUAGUUGGGGACUCUAAGGAGACUGCCGGUGACAAACCGGAGGAAGGCGGGGACGACGUCAAGUCAUCAUGGCCCUUACGAGUAGGGCUACACACGUGCUACAAUGGCAAGUACAGAGGGCCGCGAAGCCGCGAGGUGGAGCUAAUCUCACAAAGCUUGUCGUAGUCCGGAUUGGAGUCUGCAACUCGACUCCAUGAAGUCGGAAUCGCUAGUAAUCGCAAAUCAGAAUGUUGCGGUGAAUACGUUUCCCGGGUCUGUACACACGAAUCUAGAGCAUCGGAGCGGG